GAGGGAAAUUAUAUCUCAGACAGCAUUCGCUCACACACACAACAUAUAUAAAGAAAUUCAAUGAAACAGAAAAGAAAUGAACAAGAAUAGAAAGGCGACUAGUGUGAUUAUCAUUAUUACCUCACUUCUUCUGCAUUACAGCAUUGCUUCAGGUGAGAAGGACACAAUGAACCAGAUGUUUAGCAGAGGACUUCGACUUAUUGUGGAAGUUCCUCACAUCCGUGUUGAACGCCAGGUGACUCCGAAAGUGCAUGUUCUUCUCCCUGCUGGAGGUCAGAAGCAGCGAUCAGAGAGUGUGACGCUGGCGUGUGUCAUCACCGGCUUACAGUCUAAAGCGCUGAGGAUCACAUGGAAGGUAAACGGAGCCACAGGUCUGAAAAAACACGCCAGCUCUCCACAAGUGCACCGAGAGCCUGGAGGCACAUUCUGGGCUGUGGGACUGCACUCGGUUCUGGCUCAUAAAUGGAGUGCUGAGAAUAAGUACAGGUGUGAGGUGACAUACAAAGCGGCGUUUCACUAUGAUAAGGCAGAGUCGUCUCUCUGCAGUCAGAAGCAGCGAUCAGAGAGUGUGACGCUGGCGUGUGUCAUCACCGGCUUACAGUCUAAAGCGCUGAGGAUCACAUGGAAGGUAAACGGAGCCACAGGUCUGAAAAAACACGCCAGCUCUCCACAAGUGCACCGAGAGCCUGGAGGCACAUUCUGGGCUGUGGGACUGCACUCGGUUCUGGCUCAUAAAUGGAGUGCUGAGAAUAAGUACAGGUGUGAGGUGACUUACAAAGCGGCGUUUCACUAUGAUAAGGCAGAGUCGUCUCUCUGCAGUCCUCCUGAGGGACUGUAA